AGCGAACGCUGGCGGCAGGCCUAAAACAUGCAAGUCGAACGCCCUAGCAAUAGGGAGUGGCAGACGGGUGAGUAACACGUGGGAACGUGCCUUUUGGUUCGGAACAACACAGGGAAACUUGUGCUAAUACCGGAUAAGCCCUUACGGGGAAAGAUUUAUCGCCAAAAGAUCGGCCCGCGUCUGAUUAGCUAGUUGGUGGGGUAACGGCCCACCAAGGCUACGAUCAGUAGCUGGUCUGAGAGGAUGAUCAGCCACACUGGGACUGAGACACGGCCCAGACUCCUACGGGAGGCAGCAGUUAGGAAUCUUGGACAAUGGGCGCAAGCCUGAUCCAGCCAUGCCGCGUGAGUGAUGAAGGCCUUAGGGUUGUAAAGCUCUUUCAGCGGGGAAGAUAAUGACGGUACCCGCAGAAGAAGCCCCGGCUAACUUCGUGCCAGCCGCCGCCGUAAGAC
rnacentral:rRNA from 1 species